GACACUCCCCCAAGGAUUCAUCUAAAUUAAAAAAAAAAUGUUAGCGUUUCCAAAACAUAAUAAGAGCACGAAACAAUACGAAAAAAAUAAAUAACGAAAAGUUAGGCCCUUGGCCUAUCAUGCUCCUUGUUGUUGCCGUAUAAAUUGGACCUUUCAAGUCCAGAAAAUUCCCAAUUUUAGUCAUUUGGUACUGCUGCUAUUCUGCUCCAUUAUUUAUGGGUUUUAACCCAAGUUUUUGCUCUCCAAUUUUCAGCCUUUUGAGGCUGUUGUAACUCUGCUUCAGCUGGUGCCAUUUUCAGACUUUUUAAGUCCGAUAAAAUGCUAUUCUUUUAGCCCUUUAGGCUACUGCUGUUGCUGUAUUCCUGGGUGUUUAACCCAAUAAAAAUAGUCUCCCUUUCGCGACUCGGAGGUUGACCCGAAGAGAGGAGUGUACAAGGGAGUGAGGAGUCCAAUUGGACUCGAAUAAGAAGGUUCAUGUAAAAGAAAGAAAGAUAAGAAUUAACAAAUAAUCAAUAGGGGACAAAUAUUAACUUUAGACACAACCGACAUCUAAUAAAGCAAGCUUAUUCUACCCGAAGUAAAGAGUUAAUAGGCGGAAUCAUAGAGGACAAUAUUUGAUCCUAAAACCUUUCCUUUAUAUUCACAGUAAGACAAACCAUAACUGUAAACUUUAGCUAUAGAUUUAAGAAAAAAGAAAAUCAGAAAAUAAACAAGGAAGGGACAAUUUAAACAUCUUCACAUAAGCCUUAAAUUCACACAUCGAAGAAAACAAAAGGUUAAGAAAAAAAAUGGUUAACACAUGAGAACUUUUUGUGAUCCAUUAAUCUUGACAGUAGUAUUGUUAAGAACAACAAACUAACAUCUUAACACAGAAAUCAAUUGCCGGUUGUGUUCAACAUGUAGCUACACUCAUUGAUCUUAAGGUAACAUGAGACAGAACACUAAAUCGAACAUCAUUUUGAAUUAUUCACACGGAAAUGAAGACAGGAACCUCAAAACAGAGAGACAGGCGACAACUAGGAGCUGAAAAUAAUUGAAAAUAAGACAGUUUGACGCAAAUUCACACACUCAAACUUAAAUAGUCACGCUAUAACCAAAAUAAACAUACUUCAAUCCCACAUUGGAUCACAUAGCUGACUAGAGAGAAAUUAAUCACGACAUUCUUAUACAUGUAAAGAGAUUAGAUGAAGGGAGGAAACCAUCAAUUGUAUAAUGGGUAAAGAAUUAAUAAAACAAGUAAGAAUGAUAUGUUAAAACAAAGGAGCACAUAUUUCAUGCAUAGCUAUAAGCUUUGAGCCAAUAAAAAGCUACUGUACAUUCAUGUUUAGACUAAACUCAGUUGCUCGAAGAAUUAGGAAUUUGCCAAUAUGACACAUAAAUCACAAGAAAUAGUUGGACAUGAGUGAAGCUAAUACUAAUCUAGCCAAAACUCGAACAUCAGUAAAACUAUUUAAUUUUCCCACGAUAUACAAAUUCUAAAGGCUAGUGAAACAAGAUAUAUAGAGAAAUCACUGCUUAGGCAGAGUAAAACACAUACAUGUAGUAGAAACAAGUUAUGAAAACAAAGAACUGAAAAAUAAUGAAAGGGAUAUUACUAGCUAAUACCCAUCAAACAAAUUCUAAUAUACAGAAACUAAAACACAUACAGGGCUAAGAAUACACAAACAGAACAGAACUGGAAAUUAAAAGGAAACAAAGUUAAAGAAAGAAUUUACCUCUUUCGGGCAGCGAACUGAACGAUGAGUUUGAGGGAGGCGAUUCCACCACCUCUUUAAACUCGAACAGCCACAAAAAGCCACAAGAUUUUAGAUUAUUGAACCAAGAAUUCCCGAAAAUAAAAACCUUUUAGGGUACUCUUUUCUCCCAAAAUCCCUCCUGGUGGACAAUGAACAUGGUGGGUUUAUAUAGAUAGGAUUUAGGACAAAUUUUGGGGGGGAAAUAGACGAGGGCAAAAUGGGGCUAGAAAAGGGGCCAAAAUUUGAAUUUCAAACGGAAUUCUAUCCAGAACCAGAGCAUAUUCCCAAUGAUUCUUGCAAUUUCAACAGAUUGAAGGCGAGAUGAAGGGCUAAGAUCGACCCAUCGUCCUUCGAAUUCUACGCGGCUUGAUCUUGAGGCCACAAGGACGAAUUUGCAGCUGGAAUCGGCGCUGGAACAGUACUACACGUACUGUUUGUCGAGGGAAAAGAAGAAGACGACGAGAAUAAAGUUGUCACAAGUACAUAGAUGCCGUGAACUACUUCUGUGUAUUGACGUCGUG
rnacentral:lncRNA from 1 species